UUAACUCAAAUUUGUAUGGAAUUGGAGCGUUUGACUACGUUUGCCGCUAGGGGCGCUGUUCUGACUGCAUGCAAAUUUGAGUUA
rnacentral:pre_miRNA from 1 species